CACGUGGAUCACCAUGAUGAUGAUCUAUAUGGUGAUAAAAUCCUUUCGUAUGU
rnacentral:antisense_RNA from 1 species